AUUGAACGCUGGCGGCAUGCCUUACACAUGCAAGUCGAACGGCAGCACGGGUGCUUGCACCUGGUGGCGAGUGGCGAACGGGUGAGUAAUAUAUCGGAACGUACCUUAUUGUGGGGGAUAACGCAGCGAAAGCUGUGCUAAUACCGCAUAAUCCCUAGGGGGGAAAGCGGGGGACCGUAAGGCCUCGCGCAAUUAGAGCGGCCGAUACCUGAUUAGCUAGUUGGUGAGGUAAAGGCUCACCAAGGCAACGAUCAGUAGCUGGUCUGAGAGGACGAUCAGCCACACUGGGACUGAGACACGGCCCAGACUCCUACGGGAGGCAGCAGUGGGGAAUUUUGGACAAUGGGGGCAACCCUGAUCCAGCAAUGCCGCGUGAGUGAAGAAGGCCUUCGGGUUGUAAAGCUCUUUUGUCAGGGAAGGAACAGCAGCUCUAACACAGUUUGCGAAUGACGGUACCUGAAGAAUAAGCACCGGCUAACUACGUGCCAGCCGCCGCCGUAA
rnacentral:rRNA from 1 species